GCCGCAUUAGCUCAGUUGGUAGAGCACGUCAUUCGUAAUGAUGAGGUCGCUGGUUCAAAUCCGGCAUGCGGCACCA
rnacentral:tRNA from 1 species